rnacentral:rRNA from 1 species
GACGAACGCUGGCGGCGUGCUUAACACAUGCCAGUCGAACGGAAAGGCCCUGCUUUUGUGGGGUGCUCGAGUGGCGAACGGGUGAGUAACACGUGAGUAACCUGCCCUUGACUUUGGGAUAACUUCAGGAAACUGGGGCUAAUACCGGAUAGGAGCUCCUGCUGCAUGGUGGGGUUGGAAAGUUUCGGCGGUUGGGGAUGGACUCGCGGCUUAUCAGCUUGUUGGUGGGGUAGUGGCUUACCAAGGCUUUGACGGGUAGCCGGCCUGAGAGGGUGACCGGCCACAUUGGGACUGAGAUACGGCCCAGACUCCUACGGGAGGCAGCGGUGGGGAAUAUUGCACAAUGGGCGGAAGCCUGAUGCAGCAACGCCGCGUGCGGGAUGACGGCCGUCGGGUUGUAAACCGCUUUCGCCUGUGACGAAGCGUGAGUGACGGUAAUGGGUAAAGAAGCACCGGCUAACUACGUG